rnacentral:SRP_RNA from 1 species
GCCAGGCAUGGUGGUGCAUGCCUAUAAUCCCAGUUACUCAGGAGGCUGAGGCAGGAGAAUCGCUUGAACCCAGGAGGCUGAGGGUGCAGUGAGCCAAGAUCUCACCACUGUACUCCAGCCUGGGCGACAGAGCGAGACUCUGUCUUA